CCUACGGGUGGCAGCAGUGGGGAAUAUUGGACAAUGGGCGAAAGCCUGAUCCAGCCAUGCCGCGUGUGUGAAGAAGGCCUUCGGGUUGUAAAGCACUUUCAGUGGGGAAGAAAGCCUUGGGGCUAAUACCCUCGAGGAAGGACAUCACCCACAGAAGAAGCACCGGCUAACUCCGUGCCAGCAGCCGCGGUAAUACGGAGGGUGCGAGCGUUAAUCGGAAUUACUGGGCGUAAAGCGCGCGUAGGCGGUCUGAUAAGCCGGUUGUGAAAGCCCCGGGCUCAACCUGGGAACGGCAUCCGGAACUGUCAGGCUAGAGUGUAGCAGAGGAAGGUAGAAUUCCCGGUGUAGCGGUGAAAUGCGUAGAGAUCGGGAGGAAUACCAGUGGCGAAGGCGGCCUUCUGGACUGACACUGACGCUGAGGUGCGAAAGCGUGGGUAGCAAACAGGAUUAGAUACCCCGGUAGUC
rnacentral:rRNA from 1 species